rnacentral:tRNA from 1 species
UGCGGGGUGGUGUAAUUGGUAACACACAGGGCUCUGGACCCUGGUAUCCAGGUUCGAAUCCUGGCCCCGCAGCAA